rnacentral:rRNA from 1 species
AUUGAACGCUGGCGGCAGGCCUAACACAUGCAAGUCGAGCGGUUGACGGGAGCUUGCUCCCUGAUUCAGCGGCGGACGGGUGAGUAAUGCCUAGGAAUCUGCCUAUUAGUGGGGGACAACGUUUCGAAAGGAACGCUAAUACCGCAUACGUCCUACGGGAGAAAGCAGGGGACCUUCGGGCCUUGCGCUAAUAGAUGAGCCUAGGUCUGAUUAGCUUGUUGGUGAGGUAAUGGCUCACCAAGGCGACGAUCCGUAACUGGUAUGAGAGGAUGAUCAGUCACACUGGAACUGAGACAAGGUCCAGACUCCUACGGGAGGCAGCAGUGGGGAAUAUUGGACAAUGGGCGAAAGCCUGAUCCAGCCAUGCCGCGUGUGUGAAGAAGGUCUUCGGAUUGUAAAGCACUUUAAGUUGGGAGGAAGGGUUGUAGAUUAAUACUCUGCAAUUUUGACGUUACCGACAGAAUAAGCACCGGCUAACUCUGUGCCAGCAGCCGCAGUAAGAC